GCAAGUCGAACGGUAAGGUCCCGCUUGCGGGAUACACGAGUGGCGCACGGGUGAGUAACGCGUAUGCAACCUACCUUUAACUGGAGAAUAGCCCCGAGAAAUCGGGAUUAAUACUUCAUAACGAUAUGAAACGACAUCGUUUUAUAUUUAAAGCUCCGGCGGUUAAAGAUGGGCAUGCGUGACAUUAGAUAGUUGGUGAGGUAACGGCUCACCAAGUCAACGAUGUCUAGGGGUUCUGAGAGGAUUAUC
rnacentral:rRNA from 1 species